UGAGGAAUAUUCCACAAUGGGAACCGGACUGAUGGAGCGAUGCCGCGUGCAGGAAGACGCUUUUCGGAGUGUAAACUGCUUUUAAUAGGGAAGAUUAUGACGGUACCUAUAGAAUAAGGACCGGCUAACUACGUGCCAGCAGCCGCGGUAAUACGUAGGGUCCAAGCGUUAUUCGGAAUUACUGGGCGUAAAGCGUACGUAGGCGGUCAGAUAAGUUGGAUGUGAAAUCCUGUGGCUCAACCACAUGGAC
rnacentral:rRNA from 1 species